GAUGAGGGCAGGAGGGGUACGGGAGAUGGGAGAGGAAAAUACAUUCAGUCAAGGUUAAGAUCGGUGGAGAAAUGCUAAAUACAAAUAUUCCUUAACUACAGUUCAUUACAAAAUUGGAGAAAAAAGCGCAGAUGCAGAAGCAGAAUUCCCUCAGUUCCUUCCAUACACUUCAGAGAGAAUUUUUUUUAGUGGAAUACAGCCUCAAAGUGCCUAAGAAAUAAGACGUGUUCUCCAACCAGCAGCCACAUCAAAUUUUUUCUCAGCAACCAAGCAAUGUCCAAUUAGCCAUCGCGAACAAACAGGCCGCUCUUGUCUCGAGUUACCUUCAAUCCAAGUUCCAAGGUUCUUGACUGACUUCACAGAUGGAACGCAAACUUCCCUAGCCUUGAGUGAAUCUACAUGGACCCUGGAGAGCUGCUGCUUCAUAUCCAUCAUGAUGAUAAACCCUGUCUUGUUGUCACUGAUCUUCAGUUUAUCACCAAAAAACAUCCAUGCUCUGAUUUUUCAUAUUCUGAGCUCCAUAGCAGCGAUGGCUUCAUCUGAUUUGAGACACUGUCCAGCUUAAACACAAGAUAUAAUAGGCCUUUUGCAGCUAAGCCAUCACGUGACCUACUUUUCAUGAAAUUCUGGGCUAUAACUUAGCCGAAUUCAGAAAAGGAAAAAGCAUUUCGAAAAUAACAAAAUGGCCAAGUUUGAGGCCCCCAUUAUUCAAAAAUGAGAUUUGAUGACACUGAAUUUUUUAAUAAAUAAGAAGGUUUAUGUGGAAAAAGUUGUUGGAGAGCAGGGCCUUGCUCCCCAGCAACAUUUUCCAUACAAGUCCUCUAAAUUUUCCGAAAGUUCAAACCGCUGUAAAAACAGUGCUCUUUAAUUCCCGGGGCCCAAACUUGGCCGUAUUGGUGUUUUCGAUAUGCUCUUUCCAUCUCUGGUAUUCUUCAAGUUGUAUCCCAUAAUAUAUAUAUCUAAAAUUGAUCACGUGACCCCAGCUGCAAAGGGCCUAUUACCUGUCUGUGCAGAGGUGUGCACACUAUGUGGAUGUCUUUUAACCCUCUCAAACAAUUUUCAAGCCUAUGCAAAGUGAACACAGGACCCUUUUGGAACUCCUUGCUUGAUCUGAAAUUCUAUCUGGAAUGAUGACACUUUUUCUUUCAGCCAGAGAUGGUGCUGAAAAUCAGCUAAAUUAAUUCACCACAACCUUAAUUUAGGUUACGACUAGGAUGAUUUGUGAUGUGGAAGUUCAAAUGUGACAUGACUAAUAAAUUCUUAAUAAAAACCGUAUUUUUAGUUAAAAAAAAAAAACGUUACACAAUCUUAUGUGUAUGUCAGUUGCUAUAUAAUAUUUGUUGUCUGAUUUGAAUUUUCACUUUAAAACUAUGUUUUGAAGUUGUGACAUACGUUUUUGCCCUGCUAAAUGCUAUAUAUUAUAUGAUGUUACCAUUAUCAAGACAUGAUUAUUAUUAUUUGAAAUUCAAUAGAACUAGACACUGAUCAGCAGUAGAUCAAAGUAUUAAAAAGGGACUUAGGAAUGGUAAAACAGAAACCUGCACUAAUAGUAAAAAUAACUGCAAAAAGUAAGUGAAAGGAAAUGAGUAAAUCUAUGUUUUAGUCUUACAUUUAGAUUCUCACAUUCAAUAUACAAGGCUUCUUCAGUAUCUUUAUUUGAAUAAUUUAGGUGGCAGAUGUGGGGUAUUGUACCAGAAGUGUGAAAAGGUUGUGUUU